AGGUGAUGUCUCCUUACCUUUAUCAACGGAGGCACUCGGCCAUGCUGUGGGCGGCAGAGGGAUCUGCCUGCCUUAGACGCUCGUCGUCGAUAGUGUGGCGUGAGGGCGGGUUCGAUGCCCG
rnacentral:ncRNA from 1 species